rnacentral:rRNA from 1 species
CAGCAGUCGAGGGGUAACAGAGGAGCUUGCUUUUGCUGACGACCGGCGCACGGGUGCGUAACGCGUAUACAAUCUGCCUUGCACUAAGGGAUAGCCCAGAGAAAUUUGGAUUAAUAUCUUAUGGUUUAUGUAUAUGGCAUCAUAUUUAUAAUAAAGGUUACGGUGUAAGAUGAGUAUGCGUCCCAUUAGUUUGUUGGUAAGGUAACGGCUUACCAAGACUACGAUGGGUAGGGGCCCUGAGAGGGGGAUCCCCCACACUGGUACUGAGACACGGACCAGACUCCUACGGGAGGCAGCAGUGAGGAAUAUUGGACAAUGGAGGAGACUCUGAUCCAGCCAUGCCGCGUGCAGGAAGACGGUCCUAUGGAUUGUAAACUGCUUUUAUACAGGAAGAAUAAGGACUACGUGUAGUCUGGUGACGGUACUGUAAGAAUAAGGACCGGCUAACUCCGUGCCAGCAGCCGCGGUAAUACGGAGGGUCCGAGCGUUAUCCGGAAUUAUUGGGUUUAAAGGGUCCGUAGGCGGGCUGUUAAGUCAGGGGUGAAAGUUUGCAGCUCAACUGUAGAAUUGCCUUUGAUACUGACGGUCUUGAAUUAUUGUGAAGUGGUUAGAAUAUGUAGUGUAGCGGUGAAAUGCAUAGAUAUUACAUAGAAUACCGAUUGCGAAGGCAGAUCACUAACAAUUGAUUGACGCUGAUGGACGAAAGCGUGGGUAGCGAACAGGAUUAGAUACCCUGGUAGUCCACGCCGUAAACGAUGGAUACUAGCUGUUUGGAUUUCGAUCUGAGCGGCCAAGCGAAAGUGAUAAGUAUCCCACCUGGGGAGUACGUUCGCAAGAAUGAA